rnacentral:rRNA from 1 species
AGGCUGAAACACGAGGGUGUGGGUAACAAACAGGAUUAGAGACCCUGGUAGUCCACACUGUAAACGAUGAAGAAAAUGUUAAUGCAACCCCGAAAGGUAGUAAUCUUCCGCCUGAGUAGUACGAUCGCAAGAUUAAAAUUCCAAAAAUUUGGCUGUUCACUGUUUCGAUUAGAGGAGCGUGUAGUUUAAUUCGAUAAACCGCGAGAUACCUUACCCAAACUUGAAUCACCCAUCCGAGAUUGAAUGGUCUCGGGAGGGUAGACCGGUAUUGCAUGGCCGUCGUCAGUUCGUGUAUGAAACCUUUAACGGACCUAACCCGGGGGGUUAGCCGCGGAUGAAGUCAGGUCUUAUGAUCCCUAUGUUUGGGGAUAAUAUGCGCUACAUUUUCUUAUACAAUGGGAAACCUGAAAGGUGAAACCCCAAAGUAGGAGUUCGGUAGGUCAUUGUAAGAUGACCGAAAGUUGAAUUUAAUAGUAAUCGGAAAGUAGAGCGUUCCGGUGAAAUGAUCUAAGUGUUAGCACAAAUCGCCCGUCACCUUAACUUAGAACGAUAGUACGGACGCAGCCCUGCCAGCUCGCAAUGUCGAGGCCCCCCCCUCGAGGGGGGG